rnacentral:rRNA from 1 species
UACGUAGGGUGCGAGCAUUAAUCGGAAUUACUGGGCGUAAAGGGUGCGCAGGCGGCGUCGCAAGUCAGGCGUGAAAUCCCCGGGCUUAACCUGGGAACUGCACUUGAAACUACGAUGCUGGAGUAUGGCAGAGGGAGGUGGAAUUCCACGUGUAGCGGUGAAAUGCGUAGAGAUGUGGAGGAACACCGAUGGCGAAGGCAGCCUCCUGGGCCAAUACUGACGCUCAUGCACGAAAGCGUGGGGAGCAAACAGG